rnacentral:rRNA from 1 species
CGGGUGAGUAACGCGUGAGGAACCUGCUCAAGAGGGGACGAACAGUUGGAAACGACUGCUAAUACCGCAUAAGCCCACGGCUCGGCAUCGAGCAGAGGGAAAAGGAGUGAUCCGCUUUGAGAUGGCCUCGCGUCCGAUUAGCUAGUUGGUGAGGUAACGGCCCACCAAGGCGACGAUCGGUAGCCGGACUGAGAGGUUGAACGGCCACAUUGGGACUGAGACACGGCCCAG